rnacentral:rRNA from 1 species
GAUGAACGCUGGCGGCGUGCCUAAUACAUGCAAGUCGAGCGAACAGACGAGGAGCUUGCUCCUCUGACGUUAUCGGCGGACGGGUGAGUAACACGUGGAUAACCUACCUAUAAGACUGGGAUAACUUCGGGAAACCGGAGCUAAUACCGGAUAAUAUAUUGAACCGCAUGGUUCAAUAAUGAAAGACGGUUUUGCUGUCACUUAUAGAUGGAUCCGCGCCGCAUUAGCUAGUUGGUAAGGUAACGGCUUACCAAGGCAACGAUGCGUAGCCGACCUGAGAGGGUGAUCGGCCACACUGGAACUGAGACACGGUCCAGACUCCUACGGGAGGCAGCAGUAGGGAAUCUUCCGCAAUGGGCGAAAGCCUGACGGAGCAACGCCGCGUGAGUGAUGAAGGUCUUCGGAUCGUAAAACUCUGUUAUUAGGGAAGAACAAAUGUGUAAGUAACUAUGCACGUCUUGACGGUACCUAAUCAGAAAGCCACGGCUAACUACGUG